UUGUCCUGCUCUACCUUGGCAACAGUUGUUGUUUCUCUUUCAGGUCCUUUGAAUGUGUCAUGGAAUUGACCUAGUUAGAUUCGUUGGGGAUUGCACAGGGUGUUUUGCUGAGCGAUUGUGGUAUAGCGAGAUCCUGAUCACACUAGGAAUCUCCAAUAAUCACAGCAGCUGCUGCAAAUGCUCAGCAAGUCCGGCAGCUUCUGUAGAUAUGAGGAGGAGGAUUAACAUCUCAGCUCUAUAAAAAUUAACGUUGUGACAAUUUUCAUUCUGCUUUAUAAAGAUUGUGGAUUGUCUCCGUGUGUCAAAUGUUACCUGGGAGCCGUGGCAGUGGCUGAUCUACUGGUCAUCAUCCUUGAUCUGAUAUUGAGAGACAUUCCCAUUGUUUAUCAAGAACAGUUUUAUUUCCUGCAGUUCAUCCCCCUGUGUAAUAUCCAUGCCGUCCUGCUUUAUGCAUCCACUGACUGUUCUGUCUGGUUCACCGUCACUUUCACCUUUGAUCGAUUUGUAGC